rnacentral:rRNA from 1 species
AUGUGGUUAAAGCUUCUUCGUCAAGUAGUGAGCCACUUUUUCUAUGCUAGGGUUUCUACCUCUGAAGUAGUGGUCUGUCAUGUUAUGCUUAUUCUCAGCUUUCUAUAUGGAGUUAUUCUGGUCACUCAUGUUCGAAUUUUGCACUUCAUGCUCAAUUUAUUUAGCUCUCACAGAAAAAUGCAUACACAAAUCAUUUUUUUUGUUCUGCAUUUGGUGAAGUAUAUUUUUUUAAUUUCUAAAAGUGGAUGUUUUGGAUUGUUUGAUCCCGUGUUAUUAUGCAAUCCAUUUUCAUCUUUUAAGUGCGAUCUGUUGGGGAACGUAGCAUGCAAUUUCAAAAAAAUUCCUACGCUCACGCAAGAUCUAUCUAGGAGAUGCAUAGCAUCAAGAGGGGGAGAGUGUGUCCACGUACCCUUGUAG